rnacentral:tRNA from 1 species
CUCAUAGCUCAGCUGGAUAGAGUACUCGGCUACGAACCGAGCGGUCGGAGGUUCGAAUCCUCCUGAG